UACAGAGGGUGCAAGCGUUAAUCGGAAUUACUGGGCGUAAAGCGUGCGUAGACGGUUACAUAAGUCGGGUGUGAAAGCCCCGGGCUCAACCUGGGAAUUGCAUUCGAGACUGCGUAGCUAGGGUGCGGAAGAGGGAAGCGGAAUUUCCGGUGUAGCGGUGAAAUGCGUAGAUAUCGGAAGGAACACCAGUGGCGAAAGCGGCUUCCUGGUCCAGCACCGACGUUCAGGCACGAAAGCGUGGGGGAGCAAACAGG
rnacentral:rRNA from 1 species